CAUAGUAGAGGUUGCAAAGAUAAUAGAAGGCACAAAAAGUUUAGGCUUGAAUAAAGGAUUGGUAAAACUAGGAAGUCACAUUAUAAAAGUGAGUAAUAGUGAGGUUGAAGUUAAAAGCGAGCAAGGAGGUGCAAGAAACUAUGUCGGAAUGUCAGACAGUAGCGACGUUAUCAUAACCUUUCCUACAAGCAUUGGUGAGCUAAACAUCAGGAUGUGCCAUGAUGACAAAGAUCGAGUACUGGUAAAAGUAGAAGAUAA